CCUACGGGAGGCUGCAGUGGGGGAUAUUGCACAAUGGGGGGAACCCUGAUGCAGCGACGCCGCGUGAGCGAUGGAGUACUUCGGUAUGUAAAGCUCUGUCAGCAGGGAAGAAAAUGACGGUACCUGACCAAGAAGCCCCGGCUAAAUACGUGCCAGCAGCCGCGGUAAUACGUAUGGGGCAAGCGUUAUCCGGAUUUACUGGGUGUAAAGGGAGCGUAGGCGGCAGGGCAAGCCUGAUGUGAAAGCCCGCGGCUCAACCGCGGAACUGCAUUUGAAACUGUUUUUCUUGAGUACCGGAGAGGUCAUCGGAAUUCCUUGUGUAGCGGUGAAAUGCGUAGAUAUAAGGAAGAACACCAGUGGCGAAGGCGGAUGACUGGACGGCAACUGACGGUGAGGCGCGAAAGCGUGGGGAGCAAACAGGAUUAGAUACCCGAGUAGUC
rnacentral:rRNA from 1 species